rnacentral:rRNA from 1 species
CCCUUAGAUGUUCUGGGCCGCACACGCGCUACACUGAAGGAGGCAGCGUGUACUCCUGGAUCGAAAGAUUUGGGUAACCCGCGAAUCUCCUUCGUGCUAGGGAUUGAGGUUUGCAAUUAUCCUUCAUGAACGAGGAAUUCCCAGUAAGUGCAGGUCAUAAGCUUGCGCUGACUACGUCCCUGCCCUUUGUACACACCGCCCGUCGCUACUACCGAUUGAAUGAUUUAGUGAGGACUUCGGACUGGGACCGAUGCGGCUUUCGGGCUGCGUCGGUAUUCUGGAAAGAUGUCCAAACUGUAUCAUUUAGAGGAAGUAAAANUCGUANCA